rnacentral:rRNA from 1 species
UGAUGAAGGCCUUAGGGUUGUAGAGCUCUUUCAGAAGUGAAGAUGAUGACGGUAACUUCAGAAGAAGCUCCGGCUAACUCCGUGCCAGCAGCCGCGGUAAUACGGAGGGAGCUAGCGUUGUUCGGAAUUACUGGGCGUAAAGAGCGUGUAGGCUGUUAGGUAAGUCAGAGGUGAAAUCCCUAAGCUCAACUUAGGAACUGCCUUUGAUACUAUCUUACUAGAGAUCGAGAGAAGUUGGCGGAAUUCCAAGUGUAGAGGUGAAAUUCGUAGAUAUUUGGAAGAACACCAGUGGCGAAAGCGGCCAACUGGCUCGUUUCUGACGCUAAGACGCGAAAGCGUGGGUAGCAAACAGGAUUAGAUACCCUGGUAGUCCACGCCGUAAACGAUGAGUGCUAGCCGUUUGUGAUUUAUCACAAGUGGUGCAGCUAACGCGUUAAGCACUCCGCCUGG